UACGUAGGCAGCAAGCGUUGCUCGGAAUUACUGGGCGUAAAGAGUGUGUAGGCGGUGCUCUAAGUUUGGUGUGAAAUCUCCCGGCUCAACUGGGAGGGUGCGCCGAAUACUGAGAGGCUAGAGUGUGGGAGAGGAAAGUGGAAUUCCUGGUGUAGCGGUGAAAUGCGUAGAUAUCAGGAGGAACACCGGUGGUGUAAACGGCUUUCUGGACCAUAACUGACGCUGAGGCACGAAAGCGUGGGUAGCAAACAGG
rnacentral:rRNA from 1 species